CCUACGGGGGGCAGCAGUGAGGAAUAUUGGUCAAUGGACGAGAGUCUGAACCAGCCAAGUAGCGUGAAGGAUGACUGCCCUCGGGGUUGUAAACUUCUUUUAUAUGGGAAUAAAAUGUUCCACGUGUGGGAUUUUGUAUGUACCAUAUGUAUAAGGAUCGGCUAACUCCGUGCCAGCAGCCGCGGUAAUACGGAGGAUCCGAGCGUUAUCCGGAUUUAUUGGGUUUAAAGGGAGAGUAGGUGGGUUGUUAAGUCAGUUGUGAAAGUUUGCGGCUCAACCGUAGAAUUGCAGUUGAAACUGGCAGUCUUGAGUACAGUAGAGGUGGGCGGAAUUCGUGGUGUAGCGGUGAAAUGCUUAGAUAUCACGAAGAACACCGAUUGCGAAGGCAGCUUACUGGACUGCAACUGACACUGAGGCUCGAAAGUGUGGGUAGCAAACAGGAUUAGAUACCCUUGUAGUC
rnacentral:rRNA from 1 species